CUACGUGCCAGCAGCCGCGGUAAUACGUGGGGUGCGAGCGUUAAUCGGAAUUACUGGGCGUAAAGCGAGCGCAGACGGUUACUUAAGCAGGAUGUGAAAUCCCCGGGCUCAACCUGGGAACUGCGUUCUGAACUGGGUGACUAGAGUGUGUCAGAGGGAGGUAGAAUUCCACGUGUAGCAGUGAAAUGCGUAGAGAUGUGGAGGAAUACCGAUGGCGAAGGCAGCCUCCUGGGAUAACACUGACGUUCAUGCUCGAAAGCGUGGGUAGCAAACAGGAUUAGAUACCCUGGUAGUCCACGCCCUAAACGAUGUCAAUUAGCUGUUGGGCAACUUGAUUGCUUAGUAGCGUAGCUAACGCGUGAAAUUGACCGCCUGGGGAGUACGGUCGCAAGAUUAAAACUCAAAGGAAUUGACGGGGACCCGCACAAGCGGUGGAUGAUGUGGAUUAAUUCGAUGCAACGCGAAGAACCUUACCUGGUCUUGACAU
rnacentral:rRNA from 1 species